rnacentral:rRNA from 1 species
CACAUGCAAGUCGAACGCUGAAGCUUGGUGCUUGCACUGGGUGGAUGAGUGGCGAACGGGUGAGUAAUACGUGAGUAACCUGCCCUUGACUCUGGGAUAAGCCUGGGAAACUGGGUCUAAUACUGGAUACGACGGCGCAUCGCAUGGUGUGUUGUGGAAAGGGUUUUACUGGUUUUGGAUGGGCUCACGGCCUAUCAGCUUGUUGGUGGGGUAAUGGCUCACCAAGGCGACGACGGGUAGCCGGCCUGAGAGGGUGACCGGCCACACUGGGACUGAGACACGGCCCAGACUCCUACGGGAGGCAGCAGUGGGGAAUAUUGCACAAUGGGCGGAAGCCUGAUGCAGCGACGCCGCGUGAGGGAUGACGGCCUUCGGGUUGUAAACCUCUUUCAGCACGGAAGAAGCGAGAGUGACGGUACGUGCAGAAGAAGCGCCGGCUAACUACGUGCCAGCAGCCGCGGUAAUACGUAGGGCGCAAGCGUUGUCCGGAAUUAUUGGGCGUAAAGAGCUCGUAGGCGGUUUGUCGCGUCUGCUGUGAAAGCCCGGGGCUUAACCCGGGUGUGCAGUGGGUAC